CAGCACAGAGCCCAACUCGAGGCUCGAACCCACGAACUGCGAGAUCAUGACCUGAGCCGAAGUUGGACGCUCAAGCGACUGAGCCACCCAGACGCCCCUCUUCUUUACUUUUAAAAACAUAAUUGGCUCCUGAUUUCUUCCUGCACCUCUGUGGAUCAUCUUGUUUACCUCAGAGGCCACUAGCUUAAAUAUUAAGGGAGGUGAAUUACCUCACAGAAAUUGAAGAUUGGGCCGUUCCAGGAUCAAUAAAUGUGGCAGCUCAUGGAUGUCAUCAAGGACCCAGGUUCCUUCCGGCUUUCUGCUCUGCCAGCCUCCACAUGUGAGCUUCGUUCUGGAAUUGCUUCCCGCAGGGUCUUGACUCGCACAGUUGCCAGACAUGAGGCCAACCACUUGAGAAGAAGACCUUGUUUCCCAGCUUUUUUUUUUUUUUUUUUUUUUUUUUUAAGAGCAAAGAAACUUGCUCAUGAGCCCACCUGCAUGGUUCCUCUCACUUUUCACUAGGGAAGUGGGGUACAUAAACAUGCCCAAACUAAUAACCGGGAAAGAGAUUGGGACCACCGUGGCAGACUUAAAUAAGUCUCACCUCUUAGGGCUUCGGUUGGGCUCAGCUUCCCACUGGCCUCAAGAGGAGGAUGUGCUAGAACUGAGCCAUGUCUCUGUUAGGAAGACGGAAGAGAAAAUGGCUGUUGGCAACUAUCGGUUUGCUUGAAUCUACCGCACGGGGGAAUGACUACUGCUACUUAGGAGCCUCAGGGAGAUGCCAAAAACAACCCCUCUGAUUGUACGUCAGCUUUGUUUUCCACACAUGUACACAAAAACCAACUCUUACCAAUUCUCAUUCAGAAUGAACUGAUGUACUCUUGUUUGAAAGUCAUGGUCGUCCAGGUCUAGAAUCCAUAAACAACAAGGAUAUAGGCACACCCCUGACUGGAAUAGCCAGGGAACUGUAAAGAACCCAAAGCUGGGAAGAGCUUGAGCUACCUGAACACAGGCCCAAGAAAACCCAAGUCCCUGGCUGGGAAAAUUUCUCUCUUGGGUAUGACUAGUUUCACCUAUAACAAAAAUAAGACCAUGUUGUUGAGCUAGUGCUUGGUAAACACAUCCUCUGUCAAUGAAAAAGGAUGGCUCAAAUAGCAUAAGAGAGGGAAAGGAAAUAGAUGUGAACUAAGCACCUACUUUAUGGUAGUGGCUGCUGUUUACUGGCCGUCUGCCUGUGUGGCAGGUGCUGUAUGCAAAUUUUAAGAGCAUUUGAGCAAGGCAGUUAGUGCUACUCUCCUGAAGUGUAGGCAGCUUCUAGCCUGGUCCUCGGUGAUCCCCGGCUCCUGGUAUUCAUUCACCCUUGAGAGUGAGCUGGACCUAAUGACUCUUCUCAUGAAUACAGCAAAAGUGAUGGGUGUCACUUCUGUAAUUAGAUUACAGAAGACUGACAUCCGCCUUACUGGUGUAUACUCUGGCUCUUCUUACUUGCUUACUUGAAUGUAAAGGCCCACCUGGCAAGGAACUGAGUGUAGCAUGGGGCCAAUAGCCAGCAAGGAACUGAGACCUUCAGUACCAGCCCAUGAGGCACUGAAUUCUACCAACAGCUGCUGAGUGAACUUAGAAGUGGAUCUUGCCCCACUUGAACACAACGAGUAUUUCUGCCCUGGCUGACACCUUGAUCAUAGCCUUGUGAGAGAUGGUGAGCCAAAGAACUUAGCCAAGCUGUGCCCAGAUUCCUGCUCCAAGGAAACUAUGAGGUAAUAUAUACAUGGUGUUUUGAGCCACUACAUUUUGGAGUAAUUUGUUACAGAGCAAUAGAUAACAAUUAUGAGAUAGUCAAGAUGUCAGAGAUUUAAAAACUCGUCCAAAGUUACAUAGCAGCGGCAGAUUUGAGCCUUCAUCUGCCAGGAUGCUUUUGUCUCUACCACCUGAUCAUCCUGACAGCCUCCGGUGGAAGUAAGCUCUGUCCCAGUGUAAUUCUUAAGACCCACUAAUCAUACCUCCCUAGCCGAAGCUGUUCAACCAUGUCUAUAAUAACCUUAGGAGAGAACCUUCUCCACUGAGGUUCCAUGACAGAAGCCCUAGAGAAAAUGGUUUGAACAGUUUUGUUUUUGUUUUUUUCACUUUUCCCAAGGUUGGUACAUGGCUUCUAGAUGCACAGAGAGAAGUUCCGUAUACUGGGUGCCUUUAGGGCAUAAGGGAUUAAUUCUCUCAGAAACCCUGGUUGAGAAGGGCUAGUGGGGAGAGAGAAGCAGAGCAGGAGAAAAUCAUGAGGUGUGCUCUGGGGAGAAAAAUGCCCUGAGUAUCCCCCGGAAGAGAUUUUCCUCAUGAAGCAGCCUCAAAAGCUACUAGUGAAGCCAGGAACUAGACAGACAGACACACACACACACACACACACACACACACACACACACACACACACACACACGAGUCCUCUAGGGCCAGUGCUCAAGGCCAGUCUGUGGCUCUCCUCUGGUGAUAAUAGGGUGAGGCCUUAGCUGGAUGGGGUACUUGAGUCCCACUUGCACUGUUUCCUGCAUUUUCCAGGGGCAUCCGGAGGUGGGAGGAGCCACAGGAAAGGCCUGUCCUCUCAGGCAGCACUAUCUGUUGGCAUGAAGUCCAAUGGAGCUCUUGGGAAGCGAGGGAUUUCAGGUAUCCUGUACCCCCCGAUAGGAUGUACUGAGGAGGAUACUUCACCUCUGUGGUAUUUUCUCCAAAAUCCAUAACCUCAGUCUACACACAAGAAAACGUCCGACACGUCCAAAGUGAGGGACUUUCUACGGGACACCUGACUGCUCCCUCGUCAGAGGUGUCAAGGUCGUGAAAAAUGAGGAAAGACCAAAAUCUGCCUCGGAUUAAGGUGACUGUGGAGACAGGGAGACUUAAGUGCAGCGUGGGAUCCUGGGAUUGAGAAAAGAUAUUUGUGGAAAAGCUGGAGGAAUUGGAAUAAACUUCGUGGCUUAGUUAA